rnacentral:rRNA from 1 species
GGUGGUGAACCUGCGGAGGGAUCAUUACCGAGUUUACAACUCCCAAACCCCUGUGAACAUACCAAUUGUUGCCUCGGCGGAUCAGCCCGCUCCCGGUAAAACGGGACGGCCCGCCAGAGGACCCCUAAACUCUGUUUCUAUAUGUAACUUCUGAGUAAAACCAUAAAUAAAUCAAAACUUUCAACAACGGAUCUCUUGGUUCUGGCAUCGAUGAAGAACGCAGCAAAAUGCGAUAAGUAAUGUGAAUUGCAGAAUUCAGUGAAUCAUCGAAUCUUUGAACGCACAUUGCGCCCGCCAGUAUUCUGGCGGGCAUGCCUGUUCGAGCGUCAUUUCAACCCUCAAGCCCUCGGGUUUGGUGUUGGGACUCGCGAGUUAAAUCGCGUUCCCCAAAUUGAUUGGCGGUCACGUCGAGCUUCCAUAGCGUAGUAGUAAAACCCUCGUUACUGGUAAUCGUCGCGGCCACGCCGUUAAACCCCAACUUCUGAAUGUUGACCUCG